rnacentral:rRNA from 1 species
AGAGCGAACGCUGGCGGCAGGCCUAACACAUGCAAGUCGAGCGCUCGUAGCAAUACGAGAGCGGCAGACGGGAGAGUAACACGUGGGAACGUACCCUUCAGUUCAGAACAACCAAGGGAAACUUUGGCUAAUACCGGAUACGUCCGUAAGGAGAAAGAUUUAUCGCUGAAGGAUCGGCCCGCGUCUGAUUAGCUAGUUGGUGAGGUAAUGGCUCACCAAGGCGACGAUCAGUAGCUGGUCUGAGAGGAUGAUCAGCCUCACUGGGACUGAGACACGGCCCAGACUCCUACGGGAGGCAGCAGUGGGGAAUAUUGGACAAUGGGCGCAAGCCUGAUCCAGCCAUGCCGCGUGGGUGAUGAAGGCCCUAGGGUUGUAAAGCCCUUUCGGCGGGGAAGAUAAUGACGGUACCCGCAGAAGAAGCCCCGGCUAACUUCGUGCCAGCAGCCGC